rnacentral:rRNA from 1 species
GUUGAUCCUGCCGGAGGUCACUGCUAUCCGGAUACGACUAAGCCAUGCAAGUUUUGAUGUUCAAUUAGAGCGUUAAAGCGUAAAGCUCAGUAACACGUAGUCAACCUGCCCUUAAGUCUGGGAUAAUCUUGGGAAACUGAGGCUAAUACCAGAUAGUUAAGAAAUACUGGAAUGUAUUCUUAUCUAAAGUUUCGAUGCUUAAGGAUGGGACUGCGCCGGAUUAGGUCGUCGCCAGGGUAAGAACCUGGCAAGCCUGUAAUCCGUACGAGCCCUGAGAGGGGGAACUCGGAGAUGGACUCUGAGACAACAAUCCAGGCCCUACGGGGCGCAGCAGGCGCGAAAAUUUCCCAAUGCACGCAAGUGUGAGGAAGGUAUCUGGAGUGGCUUCCCGUUUAGGGGAGUCUUUUUUGAUGUGUAAAUAGCUUCAAGAAUAAGUGGUGGGUAAGACGGGUACCAGCCGCCGCGGUAAUACCCGCGCCACAAGUGGUGACCCCGAUCAUUGGGCUUAAAGCGUUCGUAGCCUGUUUUGCAAGUCUCUAGUGAAAUCCCGCAGCCAACUGUGGGGCUUGCUAGUGAUACUGCAAGACUUGGGACCGGGAGAGGUCGAAGGUAUUCCAGGGGUAGGGGUAAAAUCCUAUAAUCCUUGGGAGACCACCCGUGGCGAAGGCGUUCGACCAGAACGGAUCCGACGGUGAGGGACGAAAGCUAGGGGAGCAAAGGGGAUUAGAUACCCCUGUAGUCCUAGCUGUAAACGAUGCCCACUAGACAUUGGCAAUCCUACGUGGGUUGCCAGUGCCGUAGCGAAAGCGUUAAGUGGGCCGCCUGGGGAGUACGGUCGCAAGGCUGAAACUUAAGGGAAUUGGCGGGGGAGCACACAAGGGGUGGAGGCUGCGGUUUAAUUGGACUUAACGCCGAGAACCUUACCAGGGGCGACAGCAGAAUGAAGGUCCGUUUGAUGAACGUACCAGACACGCUGAGAAGUGGUGCAUGGCCGUCGUCAGUUCGUGUCGUGAGAUGUCCUGUUAAGUCAGGUAACGAACAAGACCCGUGCCCCAUGUUGCUACGGCGUACUUCGGUAUGCCGGCACUCAUGGGGGACCGCUGGCGAUAAGCCAGAGGAAGGUGCGGUCGACGGCAGGUCCGUAUGCUCUGAAUCCCCUGGGUUACACGCGGCCUACAAUGGCUGGCACAAUGGGAUGCAACACCGAAAGGUGAAGCUAAUCCCUAAAUCCAGUCUCAGUUCAGAUCGAGGGCUGCAACUCGCCCUCGUGAAGUCGAAAUCCCUAGUAGUCGCUGGUUAGCAUCUAGCGGCGAAUACGUUCCUGCUCCUUGCACACACUGCCCGUCAAGCCAUCUGAGUGGAUCUUUGAUGAGGCUCUUUCAUUUUGUGAGAGUCGAGUCAGAGUUCUGCAAGGAGGGC